rnacentral:tRNA from 1 species
CGGGGCGUAGCUCAGCCUGGCUAGAGCGCCUGCUUUGGGAGCAGGAGGCCGAAGGUUCAAAUCCUUUCGCCCCGA